AUAGCUCAAAUUUAAAAUCUGGUCCACUUGUGGAUCCGAAUUGUAGUCUAUAGAGGUGCUUUCUUGGGGAUGUGUGCGCACAAGUGUCCUGGAAUGGACCAUCACAGAGGGUGAGAAUCCCGUUUGGGUGCACAACAUCCACAUCUAUGAGGCACUCUCGAAGAGUCGAGUUGUUUGGGAAUGCAGCUCAAAUUGGGUGGUAAACUUCAUCCAAGGCUAAAUAUUGGCAAGAGACCGAUAGCGAA
rnacentral:rRNA from 1 species